rnacentral:rRNA from 1 species
GAUGAACGCUGGCGGCGUGCCUAACACAUGCAAGUCGAGCGAACCCUUCGGGGUGAGCGGCGGACGGGUGAGUAACGCGUGGGUAACCUGCCCUGUACACACGGAUAACAUACCGAAAGGUAUGCUAAUACGGGAUAAAGUAUGAGAGUCGCAUGGCUUUUGUAUCAAAGCUCCGGCGGUACAGGAUGGACCCGCGUCUGAUUAGCUAGUUGGUAAGGUAACGGCUUACCAAGGCAACGAUCAGUAGCCGACCUGAGAGGGUGAUCGGCCACAUUGGAACUGAGACACGGUCCAAACUCCUACGGGAGGCAGCAGUGGGGAAUAUUGCACAAUGGGCGAAAGCCUGAUGCAGCAACGCCGCGUGAGCGAUGAAGGCCUUCGGGUCGUAAAGCUCUGUCCUCAAGGAAGAUAAUGACGGUACUUGAGGAGGAAGCCC